UACGUAGGGUCCGAGCGUUGUCCGGAAUUACUGGGCGUAAAGAGCUCGUAGGUGGUUUGUCGCGUUGUUCGUGAAAACUCACAGCAUAACUGUGGGCGUGCGGGCGAUACGGGCAGACUUGAGUACUGCAGGGGAGACUGGAAUUCCUGGUGUAGCGGUGGAAUGCGCAGAUAUCAGGAGGAACACCGGUGGCGAAGGCGGGUCUCUGGGCCGAUACUGACGCUGAGGAGCGAAAGCAUGGGUAGCGAACAGG
rnacentral:rRNA from 1 species